GCUCAGUGUUUGCAUCAAUGAAGAUGGCUGCCGCAUUUCCCACGGUAUCUGAAAACUUUCAGUGGCUCUUAGUGCAGAAAGAAGCUCCUUUUGUAUCAUAUCAACGUUGAUUUUAUUUCUAAAUGUCUUAUGGAGUGAUGUGGAGGUGCCGGUGUUGGACUGGGGUGGACAAGGUCAGAAAUCAGGAGCCUGCAGUGUGGAAAUGAGCUCCUGACAUUGCCUUUACGUGCUUUGGGAGUUCUGUGGUAUUGAAAAGUGAUCUAAAGGUUCAGAAUAUAUGCAGCUCCACUAUUCCACUCGUCUACUAACGGACCUCAAUCAAUCCUAUCUCAGGACCUGUACCACAUGUGACAUGUUGCAUCUCCUGCAAAUGGGAAGAAAAGAGGAUGGAAUGCUUCUCCUGUCAGGUUAUUUUCCAACUUAAACGCACAGACUUACUCUCUCGACGUGGAGCUCAACAUCUUGCUGGGAACAACUCUCUAUCUUUUGUUCCACCUUCCUCACUAUACCUUCCACGUCCACUAUACUCUCUUUACUGAUGCUAUGUAAAAGAAAAGAAAAUCAGUAUUUAUGAUCCAUAAUUCCACAGCAUAUACAAAUAUAAGUACAACUUUAUAGUGCAAUAGUAAAAUAUUGCAAGUUAAUUUUGAACAGGCACAACACAUGCUACAAAUAAAAAUCUAACACUAUGGUUCAAAUCUUUGAAUCGUUUGUGGUGUGUUCAACCUGUGGAAAGGCACUGAAUGAACUGCUCCAGAGUUUUCCUUAACUUAGAAAGCCCUUGUACCAGCUCCUACAAAACCAGAUCUUAUUUCCUGUGCUUUCUGAUGAUGUUGAGCUUAUUACAUGGCUUAAAAAUGCUAAUAAUUUCAGAGGCAUCCUUGGAAUGGACGAGACAAAAAUGCAGAUUCCACCACAGCAGUUGGAAUAAUCUAAAACAAUCACCAUUCUAAACAAAACAAUGCACAAAAGUAGUCAAAGUGUAGAGCUGGAUGAACACAGCAGGCCAGGCAGCAUCAGAGGAGCAGGAAAGCUGACGUUUCGGGUCUGGACCCUUUUUCAGAAAAAAGUUCCUACUAUCCCCCACAAAAGUAGUCAAGGUAUCCCAUGUCGCAAAGUUAACUGAUUCCUAAAGGAAAUAUUUGUCAAAAAUUAAUCAGUUUUAGCUUGGAUCACAUCCCAUCUGUGUACCAAAUUCCACUGAAACUUUUGAGAUGUAUUGAGUAGUCAGAUAGAUUUUCAAGACAAAGACAUUACCUCCACUUCACAUUCCGUGGCAGAGGUAACAAGACAAUUUAGCUCAUUUUCUCUUUGGUGGAAUAAUGCAAGUGUUCUCAAAGCCCCACAGUUUUUCCCCUUUCAAACACUUAUGUUAUUCCUUCUUGAAAGUCAAAAUUGGAUAUGCUUCCAUCACCCUUUCAGAAACUGCAUUCCAGAUCUCAUCUUUUUACAUUAAAAAUUUAUUCCCUUGUCACUACUGCUAUCAGGUAGCUGAAAGGCUAAUGUUCACAUUCACAUGAAUAAUACAAAUAAUUUAACCUUUGUUAAAACUGUCUAACUCAUCCUCAAAUAAAUUUAACUACACUUGAGAAAAGAUGAUUCCAUAUGAUAAUGACCGUCUUUAGAGACAAGAAGAAAUUUUUCUGAAAGAGUAGUGAAUCUAUGGAAGUCUUACCCACACAGGCUGUCAAAGCUAGUUUGUUAAGCAUAUUCAAGGCUGAGAUGGACAGAUUUUUAAUCAAUAAGGGAAUCAAGGAUUGUGGGGAUAAGGCUGGAGAAUGGAAUUCAAGAUUAUCAAAUCAAUAUGAUCUCUUUGAAUAGCGGAGAUGGUUUGACAGACUGAAUGGCCUAUUUCUGUUCCUAUGUCUAAUGGUAUCUGCGAGAAAACAUUUCUCUCCAUUUGUCUUAAAAGUUAUGUCCCUUAUUUUUAUUCUAUGUAAAACAAAACAUCUGUUUCAAUAAGAUCAGCUUUCAUUCUUCAUGGGGGAUCUCUUAAAGAUAUAUCAACUUCCGUUUAAAAAGACACAAAACCUAGAAUUUUGAUGUUGAGUCUGGAACAGUUUAACAUCAUUUGCUAUGUUUC